rnacentral:lncRNA from 1 species
ACAUUCAUCUCUUGGGAUCCGAGGAGAGAUAUCUGCCGAGAGAGAAUUUGGAUCGGAGCCAGCAAAGCAAACUCCAGAAGCCUUGGCUGCUGCGAAAGGGGAUUCAACACCUUUCCGGGUCGUUCUCACUUCAUUUCCAGCCGGUCCCCCUUUGGUGCUGUUUCCCAAGUAAUCAGACCUCAGGGGUUGCCUCCUGGUGGGGAAAGGGAAGCUUGCCUUGCUGGAGAAGGGGCUCAAGGCACAGGACUUGCCUCGGACUUGCCAAGGAGGCUUGCAGGAGGCUCUUUGUCUACUCCUCUGUCCUCAUCCAACAAAUGGUUGUUCCAGAAAAAAUGCAGCAACACCUGAACUCUUCUAAAGAAAAAGAAGACAAAAUGAUCUAGUGCAUCUCUGCCAUCCUGUUGAAGAUCCUAUUUGAAAAAAGGGAGACACAGAGAAAGGUUUUUUUUUUUUUUUAAAAGUGAUAGAAUAAUCCAAAGUUAAAAAUUCAACACAAUGGAAAAUAUUAAUUCAAUCCAUGCUGCAAACAA